AUUGAACGCUGGCGGCAUGCCUUACACAUGCAAGUCGAACGGUAACGGGUCCUUCGGGAUGCCGACGAGUGGCGAACGGGUGAGUAAUAUAUCGGAACGUGCCCAGUAGUGGGGGAUAACUGCUCGAAAGAGCAGCUAAUACCGCAUACGACCUGAGGGUGAAAGGGGGGGAUCGCAAGACCUCUCGCUAUUGGAGCGGCCGAUAUCAGAUUAGCUAGUUGGUGGGGUAAAGGCCUACCAAGGCAACGAUCUGUAGUUGGUCUGAGAGGACGACCAGCCACACUGGGACUGGGACACGGCCCAGACUCCUACGGGAGGCAGCAGUGGGGAAUUUUGGACAACGGGCGCAAGCCUGAUCCAGCAAUGCCGCGUGCAGGAAGAAGGCCUUCGGGUUGUAAACUGCUUUUGUCAGGGAAGAAAUCUUCUGGGCUAAUACCCCGGGAGGAUGACGGUACCUGAAGAAUAAGCACCGGCUAACUACGUGCCAGCAGCCGCGGUAA
rnacentral:rRNA from 1 species